rnacentral:rRNA from 1 species
UUGAACGCUGGCGGCAGGCCUAACACAUGCAAGUCGAACGGUAACAGGAAGCAGCUUGCUGCUUUGCUGACGAGUGGCGGACGGGUGAGUAAUGUCUGGGAAACUGCCUGAUGGAGGGGGAUAACUACUGGAAACGGUAGCUAAUACCGCAUAACGUCGCAAGACCAAAGAGGGGGACCUUAGGGCCUCUUGCCAUCGGAUGUGCCCAGAUGGGAUUAGCUAGUAGGUGGGGUAACGGCUCACCUAGGCGACGAUCCCUAGCUGGUCUGAGAGGAUGACCAGCCACACUGGAACUGAGACACGGUCCAGACUCCUACGGGAGGCAGCAGUGGGGAAUAUUGCACAAUGGGCGCAAGCCUGAUGCAGCCAUGCCGCGUGUAUGAAGAAGGCCUUCGGGUUGUAAAGUACUUUCAGCGGGGAGGAAGGGAGUAAAGUUAAUACCUUUGCUCAUUGACGUUACCCGCAGAAGAAGCACCGGCUAACUCCGUGCCAGCAGCCGCGGUAAUACGGAGGGUGCAAGCGUUAAUCGGAAUUACUGGGCGUAAAGCGCACGCAGGCGGUUUGUUAAGUCAGAUGUGAAAUCCCCGGGCUCAACCUGGGAACUGCAUCUGAUACUGGCAAGCUUGAGUCUCGUAGAGGGGGGUAGAAUUCCAGGUGUAGCGGUGAAAUGCGUAGAGAUCUGGAGGAAUACCGGUGGCGAAGGCGGCCCCCUGGACGAAGACUGACGCUCAGGUGCGAAAGCGUGGGGAGCAAACAGGAUUAGAUACCCUGGUAGUCCACGCCGUAAACGAUGUCGACUUGGAGGUUGUGCCCUUGAGGCGUGGCUUCCGGAGCUAACGCGCUAAGUCGACCGCCUGGGGAGUACGGCCGCAAGGUUAAAACUCAAAUGAAUUGACGGGGGCCCGCACAAGCGGUGGAGCAUGUGGUUUAAUUCGAUGCAACGCGAAGAACCUUACCUGGUCUUGACAUCCACGGAAGUUUUCAGAGAUGAGAAUGUGCCUUCGGGAACCGUGAGACAGGUGCUGCAUGGCUGUCGUCAGCUCGUGUUGUGAAAUGUUGGGUUAAGUCCCGCAACGAGCGCAACCCUUAUCCUUUGUUGCCAGCGGUCCGGCCGGGAACUCAAAGGAGACUGCCAGUGAUAAACUGGAGGAAGGUGGGGAUGACGUCAAGUCAUCAUGGCCCUUACGACCAGGGCUACACACGUGCUACAAUGGCGCAUACAAAGAGAAGCGACCUCGCGAGAGCAAGCGGACCUCAUAAAGUGCGUCGUAGUCCGGAUUGGAGUCUGCAACUCGACUCCAUGAAGUCGGAAUCGCUAGUAAUCGUGGAUCAGAAUGCCACGGUGAAUACGUUCCCGGGCCUUGUACACACCGCCCGUCACACCAUGGGAGUGGGUUGCAAAAGAAGUAGGUAGCUUAACCUUCGGGAGGGCGCUUACCACUUUGUGAUUCAUGACUGGGGUG